CGUCUCGAAAGGGACGCUAAUACCGCAUACGCCCUACGGGGGAAAGGGGGGGAUCUUCGGACCUCUCGCUAUCAGAUGAGCCCAUGUCGGAUUAGCUAGUUGGUAGGGUAAAGGCCUACCAAGGCGACGAUCCGUAACUGGUCUGAGAGGAUGAUCAGUCACAAUGGAAAUGAGACACGGUCCAGACUCCUACGGGAGGCAGCAGUGGGGAAUAUUGGACAAUGGGCGAAAGCCUGAUCCAGCCAUGCCGCGUGUGUGAAGAAGGCCCUAGGGUUGUAAAGCACUUUCAGUGGGGAGAAAGGCUGUUUACUUAAUACGUAAGCAGAUUGAUGUUACCCACAGAAGAAGCACUGGUUAACUCCGUGCCAGCAGCCGCGGUAAUACGGAGGGUGCAAGCGUUAAUCGGAAUUACUGGGCGUAAAGCGCACGUAGGUGGUUUGUUAAGCUAGCCGUGAAAUCCCCGGGCUCAACCUGGGCACUGCGGUUAGAACUGGCAAGCUAGAGUAGGGUAGAGGGGUGUGGAAUUCCAGGUGUAGCGGUGAAAUGGGUAGAUAUAUGGAGGAACAUCAGUGGCGAAGGCGACACCCUGGACUCAUACUGACACUGAGGUGCGAAAGCGUGAGGAGCAAACAGGAUUAGAUACCCUGGUAGUCCACGCCGUAAACGAUGUCUACUAGCCGUUGGGGUCCUUGAGG
rnacentral:rRNA from 1 species